CUUUCCCAAGUUUUUCCAAGGGCUGUCCAGCACGGGGAUCCGUGUGCUGGGACAGUGAUUGGCAGGAGGAAGGGGAGCCUUGGCCUCACCUGCCCAGCUCAGGCCAGGACCAAGCCCUGAUCCAGCCCAGCUCUGCCAAGUGCCCUGGGCUGUGAGCAGCCCAAGGCAAGAGGCUGCAGCCCCGCCGGCCGGCGCUGGGGGCUCCUGGUGCUGCCCGUGGGCUGGGAUGUUGGAAUUGCCUCUCUGGGUGUGUGCUGAGCUCUGGCUGCAGGGGACUGUCAGGCAUUAGUGGCUCCUCCUUGCAGCUCCCAGCUGGGGAAACCUGGGAUAACUUAGGAGGGACAGAGGUGACAUUUUAAUCUGCAAACUUGGGGUAAUUUCUAGGGGAUACAGCAACUGUUUGUGUAGGAAAGUGUGUUUAACCACAUUGGUCCCAGUUGUGUUUGCACCAGCUGGGGCCAGAGGUGCAAGGCAAUCCAAAGCAAACCCUGCUCAGCCUCUAAAUCCCAGGGGAAGUUCUCCAAGCUGCUCACUGAGGGACUAAAGAUACAUUGAAAUGGAACCAAGAGCACUAAUAAGGAUCCUGGGAAUCCCAGUAUUGUUGUCCUAGAAUUUUUAACAGGUUUUUAAACUUUUUAUGACAAGAAUGGCUUUCUUCCUUUGAUUGAAUCCUGCGGUAGGAUUUGGGAUUUCUUGGGAUUCCGAAUCCCUCCCAAUGGCCCUGACACUGAUCAGGAACUUGCAGGACAAACAGAGUCAGAGCUCCUGGCAGGCACAGGGGCUUUCCCCCAGAGUGGAUCCAACUGCUGCCCCCCAGCCUGGCCAGGUGGGAUCUGCUUUGGCUCCCGGCUUCUGCCAGAGACAGAAUGUGUUCCCUUGAUUGGAAUGGGGAUCCAGUAGCUUCA